rnacentral:lncRNA from 1 species
UUUCUAUCCUUUUAUGAUAGAUAGGGGCAAACUAUGAAAUGCAACAAAAAUGCAAAUACAAAAUUAUAAAACACAAUAAAAAAAAUUAUUGAAUUGUGAUUUUCUUAAAACUUGCAAAAUACACAUUUAUUCACAAGAGGUCUAUGUCAUUGGCUACCAUAUUAAGGUAAACAAUUUUGUAUUGGAAUAUUUAAGAUUAUAUUAUGAAAUAAAUAUGUGCGUUUUAAACCUUUUUUUUUUUUUGGUUUGAUCCCUCCAAAACAACAUAUUUUACCUAGUAUAAACAUUUCCUAAAUAUAGAUUUAGUUAGUAUUUGAGGGGUGAGAAACAUUUUGUUAGGAACAUGUUGAUUUAAAUAACCAUGACCUCUAAUUAUGAUUUGGUGAUAACAAAGAAUAUAACAGAAUAAUUUAUUCUUUAAUGCAUGCUUUAUGUGUAGAAAGUUAUUGAUGACACUCUAUCAUACUAUGUUAUCUUACUCAUUUUGAUAUCUUUUAGUAAGGUUUUAAAUAGCUUCAGGAUAUUUUGAUGCUAGAAAGGAUAGGAAAAUUAACGAUCAAGGAAUUUAGGAUCGUGCCACAAAAUGGGAUCAUCAUGCCACGAUUUUAAAGCAAAAAUUAGCAUUUCAGUUCACAUAGUUUUGUGGCACAAAAGGAGUGCCAUGAAGAGAUUGAAAUUUUGAAACUGAUCGUGACACGAUUUUUCUACAUUAUGGCACGAUUUUACAUUGAUGCCUCGUGACACGUAAGACAAGUGAAGGAUCACGCUACGACCUAUGAGCAUCGUGGCAGGUUUAAUCGACCAAGGAUUUUCUAAUAAAGCUCAUUUUCCAUUCUAAGCAAGGGUUCGAUUUUUUGAGAUUUUAAAGACAUAUUUGCAUAUUAGGCUUGAGGAUUUCAUGGUGUCUCACCAUACAGUUGUUCCUCAUUUCAUGUAAUAUAUUCAAAUAUAUUAAUUGUUUAUGCUUUAGUCAUAAGUAGCUAAUUUAUUUUGGAUUAGGUUUUGGAUGAAUCUAUUUUCAGCUGAUUGAAACAUGUAGUUGUGAAACUAUAUUCAAUGCAAUUACAAUUCUAGUCUGUAUUCAUCAUUAAUUCAUUCUUAAUGCCUUUUAUAUCUUGAUCACAUAUGAAUUGAUCU